rnacentral:rRNA from 1 species
ACGAUGACUCUCGGCAACGGAUAUCUCGGCUCUCGCAUCGAUGAAGAACGUAGCGAAAUGCGAUACCUGGUGUGAAUUGCAGAAUCCCGUGAACCAUCGAGUCUUUGAACGCAAGUUGCGCCCGAGGCCACCCGGUCGAGGGCACGCCUGCCUGGGCGUCACGC